GACGAACGCUGGCGGCGUGCUUAACACAUGCAAGUCGAACGGAAAGGCCCUGCUUUUGUUGGGUGCUCGAGUGGCGAACGGGUGAGUAACACGUGAGUAACCUGCCCUUGACUUUGGGAUAACUUCAGUAAACUGGGGCUAAUACCGGUUAUGAGCUCCUGCUGCAUGGUGGGGGUUGGAAAGUUUCGGCGGUUGGGGAUGGACUCGCGGCUUAUCAGCUUGUUGGUGGGGUAGUGGCUUACCAAGGCUUUGACGGGUAGCCGGCCUGAGAGGGUGACCGGCCACAUUGGGACUGAGAUACGGCCCAGACGCAUACGGGAGGCAGCAGUGGGGAAUAGUGCACAAUGGGCGGAAGCCUGAUGCAGCAACGCCGCGUGCGGGAUGACGGCCUUCGGGUUGUAAACCGCUUUCGCCUGUGACGAAGCGUGAGUGACGGUAAUGGGUAAAGAAGCACCGGCUAACUACGUG
rnacentral:rRNA from 1 species